AUUAUACAAUUAGAAUGACUAUAAGUGUGAUCAUGUUAUUAAAAAAGUAUUACAAGAUAUUAAGCACAUGCCACAAAAUCAAAGCCUAGCACCCUACCCCGCACUCAGGAAUGUGCAAUGUCCUCAAAUCACUCGAAUUGUGGCGAGGAGCGGAUAUGAACCUCCGUCCUUGGAUGUGUUGAAUCCUCUAGUGAGACGCAACAUGCUUUAACUGCCUCAAUCAGAUUGCACUCUCAAAUAGGAGGAAACUUAGUUGCAGCAUUCUUCACUUGUAUGAGAGAAGAGGGAAGCGUCUAUGUAUGUGUUUGUAUUUGAGUGUGUGAGAAAGAGAGAGAGAGUGACAGAGUCUAAAAGAGAUUAUGGUCAUGUGUUUUGUGUUUUAGUGGGAGAGAGUUUUACAAACUAGAAAAAU
rnacentral:lncRNA from 1 species